UACACAUCGUGAAAUAAAUUU
rnacentral:piRNA from 1 species